UUUAUGACUUGUAUUUUAAUCCUAAAGUGUUUAUCCAUUCAGCAACUACCAGAACCAGCGUCAACCAUCAGCCAGCUGCCAGGAAAAGGGCCGACACUCUUCUGGCUGCUGCGCAGGACAAGCUGUUAGAUGCUGAACAGCAG